ensembl:misc_RNA 7SK 7SK RNA
GGAUGUGAGGGCGAUCUGGCUAAGUUAUCCGUCACCCCAUUGACAGGGUUGAUUGGGCUGAUCUGGCUGGCAAGGUGGGUGUCUCCUUCCUCCCUCACCACUCCAUGUGCAUCCCUCCUGAAGCUGCACACUUGGUGGAAGAGGACAACCUUCCCCGAAUAGAGAAGGACCGGUCUUAGGUCAAGGGUAUACGAGUAGCUGCGCUCCCCUACUAGAAACUCCAAACAAGCUCUGAAGAAGUGAUUGGGAAAUAGGGUGGAAGAAACAAAAGCAGUGUCAGUAUAUGUUGUACCGAGCACU